rnacentral:lncRNA from 1 species
UAUUUAUGACUUUUUAAAUGUUAAUACUUCAUUUAUCCUUUUUCCAAUCGCAACCAUUACCAAUCCAAUAAAUGAUCUAAAAACCACAAAUGCACUAGAAACGAAUGGACCAGAAAACACCACUUCUCCACAAAACAUAGUUAACCCAAUUUCACAAUAACAUACAUCUCCAUGUCACUCUCAACCUACAUUCACACCUAAACAGACAACAACAACGAC